rnacentral:rRNA from 1 species
GAUGAACGCUGGCGGCGUGCCUAAUACAUGCAAGUCGAGCGAACAGAUAAGGAGCUUGCUCCUUUGACGUUAGCGGCGGACGGGUGAGUAACACGUGGGUAACCUACCUAUAAGACUGGAAUAACUCCGGGAAACCGGGGCUAAUGCCGGAUAACAUGUUGAACCGCAUGGUUCUACAGUGAAAGGCGGCUUUGCUGUCACUUAUAGAUGGACCCGCGCCGUAUUAGCUAGUUGGCGAGGUAACGGCUCACCAAGGCAACGAUACGUAGCCGACCUGAGAGGGUGAUCGGCCACACUGGAACUGAGACACGGUCCAGACUCCUACGGGAGGCAGCAGUAGGGAAUCUUCCGCAAUGGGCGAAAGCCUGACGGAGCAACGCCGCGUGAGUGAUGAAGGUCUUCGGAUCGUAAAACUCUGUUAUUAGGGAAGAACAAAUGCGUAAGUAACUGUGCGCGUCUUGACGGUACCUAAUCAGAAAGCCACGGCUAACUACGUG